rnacentral:tRNA from 1 species
GCCAUGGUGGCUCAGUGGUAGAGCAUCUGUAUGGCAUGCAGAAGAUCCCAGGUUCAAUCUCUGGCAUCUCUGGUU